rnacentral:tRNA from 1 species
AGAGAGAUGGCUGAGUUGGUCGAAAGCACCGGUUUUGAAAACCGGCGAGGUUCACGCCUCCAGGGGUUCGAAUCCCCUUCUCUCUGCCA